AUGUUAGCGGCGGACGGGUGAGUAACACGUGGGUAACCUGCCUGUAAGACUGGGAUAACUCCGGGAAACCGGGGCUAAUACCGGAUGGUUGUUUGAACCGCAUGGUUCAGACAUAAAAGGUGGCUUCGGCUACCACUUACAGAUGGACCCGCGGCGCAUUAGCUAGUUGGUGAGGUAACGGCUCACCAAGGCAACGAUGCGUAGCCGACCUGAGAGGGUGAUCGGCCACACUGGGACUGAGACACGGCCCAGACUCCUACGGGAGGCAGCAGUAGGGAAUCUUCCGCAAUGGACGAAAGUCUGACGGAGCAACGCCGCGUGAGUGAUGAAGGUUUUCGGAUCGUAAAGCUCUGUUGUUAGGGAAGAACAAGUGCCGUUCAAAUAGGGCGGCACCUUGACGGUACCUAACCAGAAAGCCACGGCUAACUACGUGCCAGCAGCCGCGGUAAUACGUAGGUGGCAAGCGUUGUCCGGAAUUAUUGGGCGUAAAGGGCUCGCAGGCGGUUUCUUAAGUCUGAUGUGAAAGCCCCCGGCUCAACCGGGGAGGGUCAUUGGAAACUGGGGAACUUGAGUGCAGAAGAGGAGAGUGGAAUUCCACGUGUAGCGGUGAAAUGCGUAGA
rnacentral:rRNA from 1 species